CAUAGGUUAAUGAGGCGAACCGGGGGAACUGAAACAUCUAAGUACCCCGAGGAAAAGAAAUCAACCGAGAUUCCCCCAGUAGCGGCGAGCGAACGGGGAGCAGCCCAGAGCCUGAAUCAGUAUGUGUGUUAGUGGAAGCGUCUGGAAAGGCGCGCGAUACAGGGUGACAGCCCCGUACACAAAAAUGCACAUGCUGUGAGCUCGAUGAGUAGGGCGGGACACGUGGUAUCCUGUCUGAAUAUGGGGGGACCAUCCUCCAAGGCUAAAUACUCCUGACUGACCGAUAGUGAACCAGUACCGUGAGGGAAAGGCGAAAAGAACCCCGGCGAGGGGAGUGAAAAAGAACCUGAAACCGUGUACGUACAAGCAGUGGGAGCACGCUUAGGCGUGUGACUGCGUACCUUUUGUAUAAUGGGUCAGCGACUUAUAUUCUGUAGCAAGGUUAACCGAAUAGGGGAGCCGAAGGGAAACCGAGUCUUAACUGGGCGUUAAGUUGCAGGGUAUAGACCCGAAACCCGGUGAUCUAGCCAUGGGCAGGUUGAAGGUUGGGUAACACUAACUGGAGGACCGAACCGACUAAUGUUGAAAAAUUAGCGGAUGACUUGUGGCUGGGGGUGAAAGGCCAAUCAAACCGGGAGAUAGCUGGUUCUCCCCGAAAGCUAUUUAGGUAGCGCCUCGUGAAUUCAUCUCCGGGGGUAGAGCACUGUUUCGGCAAGGGGGUCAUCCCGACUUACCAACCCGAUGCAAACUGCGAAUACCGGAGAAUGUUAUCACGGGAGACACACGGCGGGUGCUAACGUCCGUCGUGAAGAGGGAAACAACCCAGACCGCCAGCUAAGGUCCCAAAGUCAUGGUUAAGUGGGAAACGAUGUGGGAAGGCCCAGACAGCCAGGAUGUUGGCUUAGAAGCAGCCAUCAUUUAAAGAAAGCGUAAUAGCUCACUGGUCGAGUCGGCCUGCGCGGAAGAUGUAACGGGGCUAAACCAUGCACCGAAGCUGCGGCAGCGACGCUUAUGCGUUGUUGGGUAGG
rnacentral:rRNA from 1 species